CAAAAAUUAAAAGAAGGAAUACUAAAAGUUUUGUAGACAUAGAUGGCACAGAGUGAAGACAGGUACGUGUCUGUGUGGGCGUGACAACCAAGACUACUGUAGGACAUGUUGAUUGUUGUUAGAUUCAAUUAUUUCAUCUUGUCUUCUGGUUACCAUGGUUGGAGUUCAAACUGAAUUGAAUUUGCUGACAUCCCCAGUACGGGCUGGGUUGGCCUGUUACAUAUUUACAGUAAGUGUAAUGAUUAAUUUCACUCUCCCGUCACACAGUCUUAUACUGCUCUCAUACACAAGACUAGCAUUACUCACAUGCGUCUCUUGCUGUUCAUCCCUUCAGCAGAUCUCCCAUUAGCAGAUUUCUCUCUAUCAUCCAUCCAUGAAUUUUCUGUUUUGCUGUCUUUUCUAUCUAUUUUAUCCUCCUCUGUCUUUUUGCUGUCACAUGACCAACAUUGUUUUGACGACUGGGAGAAGUUAAAACCUUACCAGGAUAGCUUCAAACAAAGUGUGAAACUAAGAUGACGACAUUUUUACAAGGAAACAAUAAAUUCUUAUGGUUACAACUUUUGUCCAUAUCAAUGCCUGCAUGUAAAAGAUUAAUUUAAAUGAGUUUGAGAUCCAAGUCCAUUUGCUAUCAUACUACUCAUCCCUUAUUUCUUGCGUAAAUUCAUUGAACAGCCGACCUUGAUCUUUUUUCUUUUUUUUAAAUAAGUGUUGCAGAGUAAAAAUGUUAUCUAAAAAGCAAUAAAAUCUAAGAUCAAAUGGUGCAUCAGCAAAGAAUGAUUUUAUUAUCCUUUGCAGGUGUGGCAGCGGUCAUUCCAGGAUUUACUAUGAAGUAAGAAUGCGCAACUUCUAUCCAAAAGAGGGCAGCAUUAGUUCAUUUAGAUGACACUGUAUAAAGAAAACUUUAUUCUAUAAAUUUCUUUUUUAUCUAAAGUUAUUUUACAAAAGAAAAGGGAGAAUAUUUGAGAUUAUUCUGGAUGGUCAGCUGCAAGAGUCUGGAAGAAAACUCACCAUGUUUUGUCUAUAAAAGACAGCAGAAGACUGUAGUCUUUCCAAAGAUGAAAUGUCAUGACUCCUGUCAGCUGUUUUGUUUCUGUGGGUCUCGCCAGCUGUAACAGCAUCUCCAUAUGGAAAGACUCUGGCUUCCAGUGGAGCUGCUGUUAUUUGUGGCGGGACGCCUCUCUUCAACAGAUUCUGCCGCUUGUGUUCAGUAAAAUCUGUUGUUUUUUUAGGAGAACUUGUGGCCCACGAAAAAAUAAAAUACAGCUUGUGAAUCUCA